AAAAAAAACCAUCUUAUGGCCGGAAACCCUCGAAACCCCAAACACUCCACCGAAACCCCAAAACCCAUUUCACAAACACAUAACCCCCCACCUCUCUCGAUUCUACGGUCUCUAGCCACCACCAUGAAGCCACCAAGCCCACCACUUUUCCUCCAUCACUACCGUCUUAUAUCUCGCAACCGUGAUUUCCACCGUUAAGCCAUGAUUGAACUAAUUAAGAAUUGAAAAUCCGAGUGCUCAUCUCUGCCUUCCCCUGUUAUUUCUUAUCUAUGGUAGCUAUGGAGUCAAUAAUCUAGCCCAAUUUGCACCUUAGUUUUCAAGGCCUGGUUGCUUGAGGUUUCGCAGGCUGGAGCUGCUGGUCUUCUUCAAGUGUUAUAGUCUGUGGGUUGCAAUCCUGGUUGUUGUGCAGAGAUAUAACAAUGCAUGUGUUGGGAGAUUCCCUCUCCCUUUGCCCCAUUCCCUUCCUUUCACUCCUAUCCUCCUAGCCCCACUCCAAACUUUCUAGGCAUCCUUAAAUAGGGCUUACCCAGUUGGGGGGUUGAUCAACUUAUCAUCCAAUAAAAAAUGUUGCUUAACGUACACAUCGGCCUCCCUGUCCUCCCCCACCCCUUAAAAAAUGAGAGUGAUAAAAUGAGAGAGGAGGGGAGGGGUGAAAUAUUGCUAAUUUUUUCCCUCGUUGUAUCUCAAGUUAGUUGUUUCAACCAUAUGCUUCACUUAGAACCAGAAGUAGAUCUAAGAGAAACAUGUUUCCAUUUGUUUGUAAUUGGACUUGAAGAAUCCAUCAAGAAUUCUUCUAGAGACAUGCAACACGAUAUAUAUGUCUUUGUGGGAGUUUGAAGGAUAUGGCGAAUCCACCAGUGGCACCAGAAAUAAAAUCAAAAUGAUAGAGAUGUUUGAAGCAAUAUUUCUCUGUUUCUUAGUUCAGUUUGUCCCAGAUUGAAAAGGAGCGUUAAAUAAUGCACAAUCAACAUAAGUCAUAAUGAAUUGUCUUUAUACCACCAAAGUGGUCACUGGGCUAUCAUCAAUGUGGAUGGAGUUAUGCUUCUGAUGAACGAGUUCUUGAGGUUGCUAGAACUUUUCGAAAAAAGGACAUACCUUGUGAUGUGAUCUGGAUGGAUAUAGACUACAGGGAUGGUUUUUGUUGCUUUACUUUUGACAAUUAAAGUUAUUAUUUAUUUUCUCGAAUAAAUGUAUUUUAACAAUACGAUACUUCCAUACCUUUAUUAUAUUACAAAACUGCAAUCUGGUAAAUUUCAACAGGAUCAUCCUCUAUCAACUCUGUAUGUAUUCAUUUUAGAAACUAAAGUAAGGUUGGGAGAGGAGGCCCUGAAUGACAAGAUAUGAGUGGAAUCCUUUAAACUUGUCUCCAAGUUCAGUUGAAUUCAAACUAUUACACCACUAUAUCAAAUAGACUGACCUUGUCCUUGUAGUUAUUUUAAGAUGAUAAUAGUCAGUUAUGUAAUGUAAAUAGGUGGACGAAUAACUUUGAUAACUGCUCAAAAGUAUGCAAAGAAAUGUUCCAAGGACCUAUUGAAAAAUGGGUAUUGAUUACCUGUAGAAGGACUUAGGUUUUAUUUUUAUUUGGGUCUUUCUGUAACUUAGGUGUAGCACUGAAAAUUUAUGUUCCGACACUCUGGCCACAAUCUCCAUGCGUAGCUUGUUUUUAUAUGAGCCUUUGUGCUAAUGGAGAGUAGAUAACUAGAGACCCUGGAUGAUAUUUCUUCUGCCCACUGUUUUAAUUUUGAUUUGGAUUAUCAGUUCAUAUCUGUUGAAUAUGAAAAGGUUGCCGGUAGCUGCAGUUUCCCCUUUUCUAUUUUCUUAAUUGAUCUUGAAAAUGUUCUUGUUUCACUUAAAAUAAUGUAACAGGAGCGUUUUUCAGACCCAAGCUAGCUGGUGAAUGAUCUUCAUCUUGAUGGUUUCAAGGCAAUCUGGAUGCUGGACCCAAGAAUCAAAGAAGAAAAGGGUUACUUUGUUUACGAUAGUAAAUCUAAGAGUAACGUCUGGGUCAAAACUGCUGAUGGGAAACCUCAAAGUAGAUCAAGAUGAAAUAUUGGAGUAGCAAGUAAUGUUGCCACAAGAUAAACAUUUUUUUCCCGGGAUCGAAAAGUGUGGAGUUGUUUGUUGUUAUUGCUGUUGUUGUUGUCCCUGUUACUGCUGCUGUCAAUGUUGUUGCUGCUGUUUGUUACUGCUGCUGUUGUCUGUUACUGAAGUUGACUGAAGUUGACUUUCUUUCUUAUUAUUAGAUUAUUUAGCCAAAUAAAAAAAAUUGGUGUUUAAGGAUGGUUUUUUUUAAGAAACUAUGAGAUCAUAUCAAUUCAAAUUAUUGUCUAUCAUAUAUGUUAAUUUCACAUUCGUGGUUGUUGUG